rnacentral:tRNA from 2 species
CGAGGUGUAGCGCAGUUUGGUAGCGCGCUUGGUUCGGGACCAAGAGGUCGUGGGUUCGAAUCCCGUCACCUCGACCA